AUGCGUUUUUCAUGGCGCUCGGUAUAGUUAUUCGUUAUAUUAUAAUGUGUUAUGCAUUUAAAAUGAAUUAUUUUUGUUGGAGGAAUCGAAAGUUUUCGAAGUGAUUUCCGGUGAAUUAAGGUGAAUGUAAGUGAAUUCCGGUGAUUGUAAGUGUUUCCGGUGGUUCCGGUAAUUAGACGGGCCCUUUCACACUGAUCCGCAGUGAAUAUUCGCUUGGCCGCUAUAAAAGACGGAUGUCGCAUUAGGUCUGUAAAACAGAUUGGGGCCCUUUCACAAUCUGUUUCACAGAGAAUUACGAGUCUCGUAUAAUAUCUCUGUCAUAGAUGACUGCCUUAACACGUGCUGUCACAGCACGCGGUGUGAAUCAUUGGCUGAAUGGCGCGUGCAUUGUUUACAUAAGACAUAACUGCUUCGGAGAGAAUGCUGCAUUUUAGUCAUUUUAAUACCCAUUUACACUAAAUCGGAAAUAAUUUUUACCUACAAAUACGUCAAACGCCUUUAUUUAUUUUUCCAAUAUAUACAAAAAAUGUUUUAGAAUUUAAUUUGUGGCAGGAAAAAAGUUAAUAUUUCUAGCUCAUUAAGCCGCAUCAAUGUCAUCCUUAUCAGUGAUUGUCGCGGCCAAGCAAAUAUUCACUGCGGAUCAGUGUGGCCCUUUCAGUCUACUAGGAGGUUCUGGGUGACCGAGACUAUUUCAUUCUGGAUAACUUUGGCCAUGUGACCUUACAGAUUACCUUGACCUUGUCAACAAAUACACGUGAACCAUCAGGGUAAAUCCAAAGUUGUUAAAAAGUAUAACAUCGACUGAAAAAAAUGCUAAGGAAUGUUAUGCAGAUAGGCAGGAAUGUCAGUAGUAGGUGUAAACAGUUUAUGGGCCUAAGUCAUCAAAUGUCAACUCCCAGUGAUACACAGUUAACAGAGGGAGAGCAAUAUAUAUUAAUGGUACUAAAAGAAAAAUUUCCGGAAGCAUCUGAAAUACAGGUUUCUGAUGUCUCAGGUGGUUGUGGAGCUAUGUAUCAAGUUGCAGUAGAAUCAGAAAUAUUUAGAGGAAAAAGAACAAUACAACAACAUCGACUGGUAACUCAG